UAACAAUAAACGUGAAUGAAAAAUGGUCAAGAGUAAUCUGAGUUUAUAGAUCGAAAUAUAACAAAAGGUACGAAUGAUUUCUCAAAAAAUUAAACGUAAUUCCUGUUUCACUACUGGUCGAUUUAUAUACAAUUAAAAAAUCAAGUUUGUAAAUAACACAUACAAGCUGACACAAUUAAUAAUCCUAGAUGUUUACAGACUCACAAAAAUAAUUCAAAGAAAUCAGUGAACUUCAACGCGUUUGAAUACAUAACCUAAAAUAAUAUAUGUUAUCCCAGAUUGUUAUUGUGAUCACAUUCAUUCUCAUCUACCUAUUUUACAUCACGUAGAAUAUGCAACACUGUACCGUCACACGAACAGGGAUUUUAACGGCAUCUAUAGCGUUCUUUAAAAAAGAGGCCGAUGUAAAUGAAAUCGAGUACGCCAUACAUCUCGAAAGAUUCGCAUGAAAAUUAUACACGAAUGAGUGGCGACACCAAUGUACUUGCAUUACUUAUACUUGUGGUACAGGUAUCUUAUGUUACAUUUAGAAGGAAACGGAUGAUUAAAAGUUUUUCAUCCUUUUUCAAUAAUGCUCUCUUCCUUCUUCUCUUUCUAAACGUCAGUCCAAUAGUUGUAACGUCUACAGAAUGUAAUUUUGUUUGUAGUGAAAAGAAGAAGAAUUCAGCUUAAAGUAAGGUUAAAAAUUGUCAAAUAAUGUGAAAGGAGUUUGAAAUAUCAGAUCAGUCAUGUCUAGAGGAAAAUUUGGCAAAUGGAUACAUGACAAUUUAGUACUAAUAACAGGAAUUCCUCUGUUGAUUGGAAUUCAUUGGGGUUGGUCCAGCAUGCAGGAUGUACCAUACUUGGUAGAUCCAUCUGAAAAGAGAGAACUUCCCAUAUUGGUUGCACUUCGAACGAUCAAAAAUAAAAUAGCUAGUAAAUUUUCCAAUUCGACAGAAAUGGAGAGUUCAACCCAACAGAAGGCCGAGUGAUUGUGUGAUUGCCUCAUUUGUACAGAUAUUCAGUAGAUUGUUAUUUAUAUAUAUAUACUAGGUAGUAAAUUUAUAAAGCAUUGAUUUUGGUAGUGCUUUGUUGAAGGUGAUUUAAUUCAUCAAUGAAUAUAUAUGAAACUGUAUCUGUAUUUUUUCAGUGUACUAAUUAAAGGAUGACAAUGAAAGCGAA